rnacentral:tRNA from 1 species
GCGCCCGUAGCUCAACUGGAUAGAGCAUCGGACUUCUACUCCGUAGGUUGGGGGUUCGAGUCCCUCCGGGCGCG